UACGUAGGCAGCAAGCGUUGUUCGGAAUUACUGGGCGUAAAGAGUGUGUAGGCGGUGCUCUAAGUUCGGGGUGAAAUCUCCCGGCUCAACUGGGAGGGUGCGCUGAAAACUGGGGUGCUCGAGGGUGGGAGAGGUAAGCGGAAUUCCUGGUGUAGCGGUGAAAUGCGUAGAUAUCAGGAGGAACACCUGUGGCGAAGGCGGCAUCCUGGACCAAUUCUGACGCUGAGGAGCGAAAGCCGGGGGAGCAAACGGG
rnacentral:rRNA from 1 species